ACAGAACACAAACAAACAGAGUCGAUGCAAAAACGUAAACAGAUGAGUGAAAAAUGAAGCAAAUUCCAUAUUUGAUUUCGAUUUGCUGCACCUGGAGGAACCCCGCCCGAGAGAACUUUGGUGAACAGAAAUUUGACCCAUUGUGUCCGAUUCCAAAUACGACCCCCUUCCACCCAACGACAAAUGACGUCAGCAGAUUCUGCGAGAUGUAUCACAUAUAUGUACUCAACUGACUAUUUUGUGCUGUUGGGGAGUUCAACAUUCAACCAAGUGAUGGAUUGAUACAACAAAACGGUUGUCUGUUGCCGAGUGUAUCGCCCUCAAAAUAACAUGCAUUCGUUCAGUUAUCAUUGCUUGGACAAACAAGUUUUGCAUAAAUUUAAACGUGUAAUUUUACUUUGUGUGUUUUUUUAUAAAAAAAAAACCUUAUUGGACACAU